rnacentral:rRNA from 1 species
CGGAGGGUGCAAGCGUUAUCCGGAUUCACUGGGUUUAAAGGGUGCGUAGGUGGGUUGGUAAGUCAGUGGUGAAAUCUCCAGGCUUAACUUGGAAACUGCCAUUGAUACUAUCAGUCUUGAAUACCGUGGAGAUGAGCGGAAUAUGUCAUGUAGCGGUGAAAUGCUUAGAUAUGACAUAGAACACCAAUUGCGAAGGCAGCUCGUUACACGAAUAUUGACACUGAUGCACGAAAGCGUGGGGAUCGAACAGGAUUAGAUACCCUGGUAGUCCACGCCCUAAACGAUGGAUACUCGACAUUUGCGAUAAACUGCAAGUGUCUGAGCGAAAGCAUUAAGUAUCCCACCUGGGAAGUACGACCGCAAGGUUG